rnacentral:lncRNA from 1 species
UCUGACAAGGAUUCUAGGUAAACCAUAAAAUCUCUUUAGUAUCCUUUAAUUUUUGGCUGAAUGCAUUUCUGUAAUGGUGUCUUUACCCUCCUGAGAGAGGAUUUAGGGAAGGUGGAAGUUAUUGCUCUCUCUGGUUAAGAAAUAAAGAUAUUCUUUUUGUCAGCAUGUGCUUCUCUUCAAGAUAAAGGGCUAUGUUUUGUAUAGGAAGAGCUUGGUGUUCCACUUUGCAGUGAAAUGAAUUGCAUCAUGAAAUAGCAGUUGCAUAGUUAGUAUUUUUGGCUUUUGUAACUGAAUGGAAAGCACUUGGAGACCCUAGAAUGCUAGGCCAGCACAAGCAAAUGUGACAGCUCUUCUAAGUGUCAUGUUUUAUGAGUGAAAGGUCCUGCUACCCUUUACUUUUUAAAUGAGCCAUAGCUGCAAGAUAAAGGGGUGAUAAUGAGAAUAAAGAACUCUGUUUCCUGCGUACCUCUCUGGUUUUGAUUAAAACUUGUCAUAGUAUUAAAAAAAAAAAACUGGACACAUUUGGGGCAUCCUUAUGAAAUGGGUAAAAUUCAACUUUGGGAAUGUUCCUACCAGAAGGAGGAACCUAUUUAAUUGUUUUCUAAUCUCAAUUUUUAUAUCAG